CCCAUCGAGGACCUGCGGGACAAGAUUCUUGGUGCCACCAUUAAGAACUCCAGGAUCGUCCUACAGAUCGACAAC
rfam:Papio anubis isolate 1X1155 chromosome 11, whole genome shotgun sequence.